rnacentral:rRNA from 1 species
UACGUAGGGGGCAAGCGUUGUCCGGAUUUAUUGGGCGUAAAGCGCGUGUAGGCGGCUUGGCUAAGUCGCUGUGAAAACUCGAAGGCUCAACCUCGAGAUGUCGGUGGAAACUGCCUGGACUAGAGUCCGGAAGAGGGAGUGUGGAAUCCGUGGUGUAGCGGUGAAAUGCGCAGAUAUCAGGAGGAACACCGAUGGCGAAGGCAGAUCUCUGGGCCGUAACUGACGCUGAGGAGACGAAAGCGUGGGGGAGCAAACAGG